UCGCUCUGUCACCCAGGCUGGACUGCAGUGGCGCGAUCUUGGCUCACUGCAACCUCCGCCUCCUGGAUUCAAGCGAUUCUUCUGCCUCAGCCUCCCGAGUAGCUAGGAUUACAGGCAUGUGUCACCACGCCCGGCUAAUUUUGUAUUUUUAGUAGAGACGGGGUUUCUCCGUGUUGGUCAGGCUGGUCUCGAACUCCUGACCUCAGGUGAUCUGCCCGCCUCGGCCUCCCAAAGUGCUGAGAUUACAGACGUGAGCCACCGUGCCUGGCGGAAUUUUCAUAUUUUAAGUCCCCCACCCUUGGACAUUUAGAUUUUUUCCAUCUUUCUGUAUUUGCAGAUAUGCUUCUACGUACACCUUUAUUCAUUUGCUUGAACAUUUCCCUGAGAAAAACUAGAAAUGGAAUUGCCAGAUUACUUUGUGUACAUGUUUCCAAACUGUCCUCCAGAAAGAAUGUAAUGCUUUGAACUUCCACUUGAGAAUCAAAUGUUUACCUUCCUCUGUUCCUCCAGAUUUGGACAUUUACAGUGUUCAGCCGUUGUUGUGGCAUUCCAAUUCAAUUGGGAAACAGCUUGAUGUAGCGUCCCCAUAAGGUCCACAGUAAUUAAAUUUUUUUUUUUUUUUUUUGGUGCGGUAGUGCAAUUUCAUGGCUCACUGCAACCUCCACCUCCCAGGUUCAAGCGAUCCUCCCAUCUCAGCCUCCCUAGUAGCUGGGAUUACAGGUGCACGCCACCACACCAGGCUAAUUUUUGUAUUUUUAGUAGAGAUGGGGUUUCACCAGGUUAGCCAGGCUGGUCUUGAACUCCAGACCUCAAGGGAUCCGCCUGCCUCAGCUUUCCAAAGUGCUGGGAUUACAGGUGGAGACUGGACCUCAGAAGAGGGAGUGGGUGCCCCGAGAACUCACAGCUAGCGGACAGUGGAAAGGGCAGGAGCCGGACCAAGGUGAGGACAGUGGAACUGAAGGCCGCUGGUUACCUCUCCUGCCCUCCGCUGGCCACAGUGGAGAAGACAGCCCCUCCCUCCUGCUCUGACCUGACAGUGUUCAUCCAUCGCCCUGUAUUAGCGAAGAACAACAUCAAGCUGGCUAGCAAGGAACUGUAUACAGGGUCCAGCUGGGUAUCACACUGGAUCUCACCCAAAGCUUAGAUGUGAUCCAGCUCAGUAUCACAAAGCAGAACGAAAAGGAUGUGUUUGGGCUGAGAGGCCAUACAUUGGCUCCGGCAUGACGGGUGACUUCUUCCGAGUCUGGCUUCUGCAGCACACAGGGCUUCGCCAGCACCCAGCUCCUGCAGCAUGGGCAGCUCCUGUGACAGCAGGCGCCCGCAGCCUGCAAAGCGUCUCCAGUGCCGCCGCCUCAGUGAACCUCAACCAGCGGCACCUAGCAGCUUUCUCUGCCACCCUCUUCAGGCACUCCAGAGCCGCGAGCCGCCUCGCACAGCCCGCGCGUUUCUUCUGCUCCCCCGGAAGAGGGCACGGUCUCCUUCCUGGCCGCUCUCUGCCGGCCGUACCGCACGACAGCUGGCAGCACCGUCAGCCCCUGCUCGGGAGCUCGGAAGAUGCUCUAGCUCCGCGGCCAGUGCAGCGAACCCACCCAACCCUGGUGCAGGAGCCAUUGCAGCAAAUUGACAGGGAGUCCUCUGGGCCGGAAGUGGCCCUGGCCCUGCGCCGUAUGCUCUCUAGGACUGCAGGAGGCUCGGCAUCUCGGUGAUAGACCCAGGAAGUCAGUGGCUGGGCGGGGCGGGCUGUGAGGACUGAGGUCUGUAGCGAAGGUCCAGCCCCGUGGUCUUCGCUUCGUUCGGCAACGAACGCCCAGCGAAGGGUAAGACGAAAUGCUUCAAAGACAGGAUCCUGGAGCAGUUGCCGGGGCAACCGUGCGGCUUGGGGCGUGGCGGUGAGGGGAAAAGGGCCGGGCACAAACUUCAGCCGUGAUUGGCUGGUUCUGCUGGAGCCGCCUUUCUCCCCGCCCCGAUGCCUGAAUGGCUAAGGGCAGGGGGGCGUGGCCUCCUGGAUUCAGUCAUGCCGGCGACGGGGCCGCCGAGCGAGAGGCUGGGUCCAUGGGACCCUGCAGGCUCUGGGCUUCGCUACACGGCCGGGCCCGGGAACUGGGAGACGGUGUCCUAGGCUAGGACGGCGCUGAGGCCGACGCCCCCGGCCCAGAGGGGCAGCGCCGACAGCCGAUCCCUGAGCGCUUGCAACAGGAACCUGGGGCCGCAGGGAAGCAGGUGGGAAGCCAGGAUGCAUACAUCCUGCCUCUCCGCCUCCGCCCUCACCGUGCUCCUGACACCGCAUCAGUGAUGAUCUGGUGGAGUUCUCCAG
ensembl:lncRNA ZNF213-AS1 ZNF213 antisense RNA 1 (head to head)